rnacentral:rRNA from 1 species
AGCAGCCGCGGUAAUUCCAGCUCCAAUAGCGUAUAUUAAAGUUGUUGCAGUUAAAAAGCUCGUAGUUGAAUUUCGGGGUUAGUAGGUUGGUCAUGCCUCUGGUAUGUACUGGUCUCACUGAUUCCUCCUUCCUGAUGAGCCGUAAUGCCAUUAAUUUGGUGUUGCGGGGAAUUUGGACUGUUACUUUGAAAAAAUUAGAGUGUUUAAAGCAAGCUAACGCUUGAAUACAUUAGCAUGGAAUAAUGAAAUAGGACGUUCGAUCCUAUUUUGUUGGUUUCUAGGAUUGACGUAAUGAUUAAUAGGGAUAGUUGGGGGCAUUAGUAUUCAAUUGUCGGAGGUGAAAUUCUUGGAUUUAUUGAAGACUAACUACUGCGAAAGCAUUUGCCAAGGAUGUUUUCAUUAAUCAAGAACGAAAGUUAGGGGAUCGAAGACGAUCAGAUACCGUCGUAGUCUUAACCAUAAACUAUGCCGACUAGGGAUCGGAUGAUGUUAAUUUUUUAAUGACUCAUUCGGCGCCUUACG